rnacentral:rRNA from 1 species
GAUGAACGCUGGCGGCGUGCCUAGUACAUGCAAGUCGAGCGAACGGUCGAGAAGCUUGCUUUUCUGAUGUUAGCGGCGGACGGGUGAGUAACACGUGGAUAACCUACCUAUAAGACUGGGAUAACUUCGGGAAACCGGAGCUAAUACCGGAUAAUAUUUUGAACCGCAUGGUUCAAAAGUGAAAGACGGUCUUGCUGUCACUUAUAGAUGGAUCCGCGCUGCAUUAGCUAGUUGGUAAGGUAACGGCUUACCAAGGCAACGAUGCAUAGCCGACCUGAGAGGGUGAUCGGCCACACUGGAACUGAGACACGGUCCAGACUCCUACGGGAGGCAGCAGUAGGGAAUCUUCCGCAAUGGGCGAAAGCCUGACGGAGCAACGCCGCGUGAGUGAUGAAGGUCUUCGGAUCGUAAAACUCUGUUAUUAGGGAAGAACAUAUGUGUAAGUAACUGUGCACAUCUUGACGGUACCUAAUCAGAAAGCCACGGCUAACUACGUG